rnacentral:rRNA from 1 species
AAAUUGAAGAGUUUGAUCAUGGCUCAGAUUGAACGCUGGCGGCAGGCCUAACACAUGCAAGUCGAACGGUAACAGGAAGCAGCUUGCUGCUUCGCUGACGAGUGGCGGACGGGUGAGUAAUGUCUGGGAAGCUGCCUGAUGGAGGGGGAUAACUACUGGAAACGGUGGCUAAUACCGCAUAACGUCGCAAGACCAAAGAGGGGGACCUUCGGGCCUCUUGCCAUCAGAUGUGCCCAGAUGGGAUUAGCUAGUUGGUGAGGUAACGGCUCACCAA